rnacentral:tRNA from 1 species
GGCCUGAUGGUCUAGGGGUAUGAUUCUCGCUUAGGGUGCGAGAGGUCCCGGGUUCAAAUCCCGGUCAGGCCG